AUGCCUUCAUUCAUAAAAUUCCUAAAGUUUUGUGUUUGCGAAAAGGACAUUUCAUGUUCUCUCUACAAUACGAAGGUAAGCCUUUUACUUAAUUUCAUUCUGUUUAUCAGAGUUUUUCUUUUUUCCUUAUGUAAAUAUGAUCUUUAUGUAUGCAGCAAAAGAUAGUGAUCAAGGUGCAAUUGACCUCUCAGAACUGCAGAACCAAGGCCUUGAAGAUUGCUGCAGAAGCCAAAGGUGUGAGCAAUGUUUCCAUAGACGUAGAGAAAGCGGUAGUGGAGGUGAUUGGAAUUGGAGUUGAUGCCGUUUCCUUGGCACAGUCAUUGGAGAAGCAGCUUGGCUUUGCUUCCAUUGUUAGUGUUGGAGAAGUGAAAAAACCAGAGGAGCCAAAGCCAGCCAUUCCAAUUGAAUGGACAUCAAGCUAUAUUCACUGUCCACGGUAUGCUGUGCACUAUGAUGGAUUCUGCCGAUGUUAA
rnacentral:lncRNA from 1 species